GACGAACGCUGGCGGCGUGCUUAACACAUGCAAGUCGAACGGAAAGGCCCUGCUUUUGUGGGGUGCUCGAGUGGCGAACGGGUGAGUAACACGUGAGUAACCUGCCCUUGACUUUGGGAUAACUUCAGGAAACUGGGGCUAAUACCGGAUAGGAGCUCCUGCUGCAUGGGGGGGGUUGGAAAGUUUCGGCGGUUGGGGAUGGACUCGCGGCUUAUCAGCUUGUUGGUGGGGUAGUGGCGUACCAAGGCUUUGACGGGUAGCCGGCCUGAGAGGGUGACCGGCCACAUUGGGACUGAGAUACGGCCCAGACUCCUACGUGCGGCAGCAGUCGGGAAUAUUGCACAAUGGGCGGAAGCCUGUUGCAGCAACGCCGCGUGCGGGAUGACGGCCUUCGGGUUGUAAACCGCUUUCGCCUGUGACGAAGCGUGAGUGACGGUAAUGGGUCAAGAAGCACCGGCUAACUACGUG
rnacentral:rRNA from 1 species